GUUAAACCAGUCCCAGAACCUGUUACCAUAGUCUGAAGUCUUCCUAAUAACAGGACUCAUUUGCUGGAGAUUUGGUCUGAAGUGUGGUGUUGAAGAUCCUGAAUCUUUAUAGAUGAGAAGUUGACAGCAUCCUUAGAGAGUCGAUGUCAGCUCCUGGACUCAUCCUUCAGUGGCUAAAACGCCACCAGACUGAUGUGCAUUCUGCUUUGUGCACAUGAGCACUGUAAAUCCAACGUGUCAUUUCUUUUUAACUACAUUUGCCAUAAAACCACUUAUUUUACGCGGCUGUGACACUUGCGCUGCCGGUUCACCUUCUGAUUAAUAAAGCCAUUAGCACCAGCGGGCCUGACGUUCUCCGCACAAAGGCUGGGCUUCGGAUGUCUCCGUAGGACUAAUGGCUUCUCAAAGGUGAUGUGGCACACCGAAGGCUGCCUGCUGGGGCCCUCGGAAUGCAUUUCCUAAUGUGCAUCGUCGAGAUGAAUUGAUAAAUUACGUCAGUCUGGGCUACCCUGUGGUGCGUGCUGCAUGCUGGAAGAUCCGACAAGACAGAGACUGCCCCAUACUCUCCACCCCACAGCCUCAUCAGGGCCCUGAAAAGUCAGCAAGGCUCCGUCAACAGGAAUAGCCUAAUCAGCAUCUUCUCACUCUGGCCCCAGCUGUGGGGGGCAGCUCUCUAAGGAGCCCAUUUCCAAGCCCUUGCAUGACUCUCUCCUCACACACUCUUCCUGAACCUCUGUUCUUCCCUCUCUCUAGUUGCCUGUGUUAACUGUGCAA